UAGUCCUAGCUGUAAACGAUCAGUACUAGUCUGUGGGGACUCUCACAUCCUCUCGGACGUAGCGAAAGUGUUAAGUACUGCGCCUGGGGAGUAUGGUCGCAAGGCUGAAACUCAAAGGAAUUGACGGGGGCUCACACAAGCGGUGGAGGAUGUGGCUUAAUUCGAGGAUACGCGAAGAACCUUACCUAGACUUAACAUGCUUGGGAACGUCUGUGAAAGCAGAAAGUGCCUUUCGGGGAACCCUUGCGUAGGUGCUGCAUGGUUGUCGUCAGCUCGUGUCGUGAGAUGUCGGGUUAAGUCCCUUAACGAGCGAAACUCUUGUCACUAGUUGCCAGCGAGUAAUGUCGGGGACUCUAGUGAGACUGCCGGUGUUAAACCGGAGGAAGGUGGGGAUGACGUCAAGUCCUCAUGGGCCUUUAUGCCUAGGGGCUGCACACGUCCUACAAUGCACUAUACAAAGCGUUGCGAACUCGCGAGAGUAAGCUAACCGCAUAAAGUAGUGCCCAGUUC
rnacentral:rRNA from 1 species